GUGGGAGCGGCUUCCGCUCGGUGGUUCCUUCCCGCACGCAGCUACGGGUUUCGGUGCUGCGCCGGUUAAGCCGGCACCAGAAACAACCUGCGACCCCACCUGGCGUGCGUCUUCCAGCACAGGGAAACGGGAUGGAAGUCAGAAGGGUCGACCACAAGGAGCUCUUACUGUGCAUCAGUUCAUCCUGCAAGUCCGCCACAUUUAGCUUCCUAUGUUACUGUCCUUUGGGGAUUCUCAAGGCUUUUCACAAAACUGGCUUCCACCUUCCUCACACACAUCCUCAUCUGGAAGAAAACUGACCUCUUCACAGAAACCCCUGACACCUUACUGACCCAGGAUCUUUGUUCAGGUGGCCAAAAGAAAAAGUUCUGCAGGCCAGGCGCGGUGGCUCACUCCUGUAAUCCCAGCACUUUGGGAGGCCGAGGCGGGCGGAUCACCUGAGGGAAAGUUUCAGAACUGUUGCUCCUGGCAGACACUUCGUGGACACGCAUACUCACCAUGCCUCCUUCCUGCUGACAACUGGGGACUUAAGUCACAACCUGCAGACUAGCACAGAGAAAUGUCUGACUCUUCAGUUGAGUUCAACAAAUGCUUAUUGAGCACCUCCUAAGUACCAGGCACUGUUGAUACAAAGAAAAAGUCUCACUCUGUCUCCCAGGCUGGAGUGCACAGGCACAAUCUCGGCUGGCUGCAGCCUCCACCUCCCAGGUUCAAGUGAUUCUUGUGCCUCAGCCUCCUGAGAUAUCUUUAAAGUUUUCUUGUUUCUUUCUUAAGAAAACUCUCCCUAUUCUAAUCUCCACUCAUAAUUCUCAAGAUGGUGUACAAAUAUUGCUAUAAAUAACUAUUCAUCAGGAAGUUCCAAGAAAGGUUCUGUUGGGCAAUAGUUGAUAUAACUCAUGAAAUAAAUAUUUACUGAACAUGUAUUAUGUGCCAGUAAUUAAUUAUGCAGUUUUUAUCUAGGAGGUAUAAAUACAUUUUUGCUUUUGGUAAAAUAAUAUUUUCACAAACAUAUUUAGAAAGGUUUUACAGCAUUAUUUUUACCCAUAGUGUAUUAAUUUUCUCAAUUAUGACUUCACUGGUGGUAGGUUUUAAGAACAUAAUCUUCAUAGAAAGUGAAAAAGAUAUAUAUUUAUACCAUACUCCCAUUAAUGGUAAUUCAUGGCCCAAACCUAUCCCU
rnacentral:lncRNA from 1 species